AAGUGAAGAGGGACAAGCUCAAAUUUUAAAUCUAUCGGGUUUUACCCGAUCGAGUUGUAAUUUGAAGAAGCGUUUUCUGCGUUUUUGGUCAGCCCAAGUCCUAUUGAAUGAGGCAUCAUGGAGGGUGAUAAUCCCGUCCGGUUGAUCGUUUGCGUUUUACGAUACGCUUUCUAAGAGUCAAGUUGUUUGGGAUUGCAGCUUAAAAUGGGAGGUAAAUUUCUCCUAAGGCUAAAUAUUGGCGAGAGACCGAUAGCGAACAAGUACCGUGAGGGAAAGAUGAAAAGAACUUUGAAAAGAGAGUUAAACAGUACGUGAAAUUGUUGAAAGGGAAACGACUGAAGCCAGUCGUACCGGCGGGUAAUCAGCCUUUCGGGUAUGAUUCUGUGGAGCGUGAGGAGUUAAACGCCUUCAUGCCUGCAUAUUCGUGCUCUUGGGUGUACUUGCUCGUGUGGUUGGUUAACAUCAAUUUCGGUUAUCAUAAAAUGGCUGGAGGAAUGUAGCUUCGAUCUCGUAUUGAAGUGUUAUAGCCUUCGGCAGAUGUGAUGAUUGGGAUUGAGGAUUGCAACGGAUACCCCUCGGGGCUACCUGUCUGGUCUCUGAUCGUUGCUUUGGUGCCGAAAGCGUGCUUACGGUUAUCAAAGUCGAUGGUCAAUAGGUUAGAACGGGCUAAAUUCGUUA
rnacentral:rRNA from 1 species